GUCCGCUGUCCAAGAACCUCCUGCUCCUUCUCUCUCAACAAUGUGGUCUCUCUCUCUUCUCAGUUGGUUUCCGUGCGACCACAGACCUCACGAGUUUUCGUAAGGUAAAACCAAGCCGCCACUUGCUAUUUCAGGUGUUCCCAGCUUUUAAAGGCUUAAACACCAAUUAGAUUAAGAGUAGGAGUCCCAAACAACCCCAAAUAACCCCC
rnacentral:lncRNA from 1 species